CCAACUCUUUGUUUUGCCAAACAUUUUAGAUAACAAUCUCUUACAUAUUCGUAAUAGCUAUGUAUGAUAUUUAAAAAUAAUUCUACAUUAAUAUCUUGUUCCUUUGAUGAACUAUGCGUAUAAUUAUUACACUUAUGCAUUAAUGGUGAAAUUUAUGUAGAUCUUAUUGAAGAAUUCACUGUUCAUUUUCAGUUAUAAAUUAUCAAUCGAUUUCAGAGACCAUUCACUAUAUACCAUCAUAAAU